rnacentral:rRNA from 1 species
CUUACAUGCAGUCGAACGGGGGACUUCGGUCCCUAGUGGCAAACGGGUGAGUAAUGGAUAGGGAUCUACCGGGAAGAUGGGGAUACCCCCUCGAAAGAGGGAACAAUACCCAGUACGCUCCGCAAGGAGGAAAGGUGGUGCAAGCCACCGCUUUCCGACGAACCUAUCUCCUAUCAGCUAGUUGGUGAGGUAAUGGCUCACCAAGGCUAUGACGGGUAGCUGGUCUGAGAGGAUGAUCAGCCACACUGGAACUGAGACACGGUCCAGACUCCUACGGGAGGCAGCAGUGGGGAAUUUUGGGCAAUGAGCGAAAGCUUGACCCAGCGACACUGCGUGGGCGAUGACGAUCUUUGGAUUGUAAAGCCCUUUUAUGGAAGAGUAAGAAGAUGAUUAGGAAAUGAGUUGUCUUUUGCAAGUAUUCCAUGAAUAAGCCCCAGCCAACUACGUGCCAGCAGCUGCGGUAAUACGUAGGGGGCAAGCGUUGUCCGGAAUUACUGGGUGUAAAGGGUGUGCAGGCGUCCUUUUAAGUUGGUUGUGAAAACCCGGAGCUCAACUCCGGAACUGCAGCCAAUACUGAAAGGAUCGAGGGUAUGAGAAGGAAGCGGAAUUCUCGGUGUAGCGGUGAAAUGCGUAGAUAUCGAGAGGAACACCUGCGGCGAAAGCGGCUUCCUAACAUACUUCUGACGCUCAUACACGAAAGCUAGGGGAGCAAACAGGAUUAGAUACCCUGGUAGUCCUAGCCAUAAACGAUGAAUACUAGGUGUUGGAGGAUUCACUCCUUCAGCGUCGCAGCUAACGCGUUAAGUAUUCCACCUG